AGAGUUUGAUCCUGGCUCAGAGUGAACGCUGGCGGCGUGCUUAACACAUGCAAGUCGAACGGUAACAGCAAGAGCUUGCUCUUGGCUGACGAGUGGCGCACGGGUGAGUAAUAUAUAGUUAAUGUGCCUUGAAGACCGGGAUAGCCAUUGGAAACGAUGAUUAAUACUGGAUACACCUUCUAAUCCUAAGAUUAGUCGGGAAAUGUUUUUUCGCUUCGAGAUCAGACUAUAUCCCAUCAGCUUGUUGGUGAGGUAAGAGCUCACCAAGGCAAUGACGGGUAGCGGGUUUGAGAGGAUGAUCCGCCACACUGGUACUGAGACACGGACCAGACUCCUACGGGAGGCAGCAGUGAGGAAUAUUGCACAAUGGGGGGAACCCUGAUGCAGCAACGCCGCGUGGAGGAUGACGCAUUUCGGUGUGUAAACUCCUUUUAUGAGUCAAGAAAAUGACGGUAGCUCA
rnacentral:rRNA from 1 species